ensembl:lncRNA
CCUCUCUCAGCUGUUGUGUUGGUUGUACGUUUUCCUCCAUGUUCUCCGCGCUCGAGCAGCUGUAAUGUCAGCAACAUCUCGUAAACUAUCCCGCUGCUGUGUGUUUGGAUGUUAGACUGAACAUAAGUCUUCUUUUCUCCCAACAUCUGAGCUGCUGAGGCUGCUGUGGAUCACUUCUGUUUUUCAAGGGAAGCGACUGAACUUCAGAUGAAGACACAGCAGCUCUGAGGAUGGACCAGUUCACCACUCCAGCUCCAUCAUCCGGCUGGAUCCCAGAGACGGGUCAUUAUCUGGAGCAGACAGCCUCUCAGAGGAGUCCUGGCCGUGCGGUAGAGAGACCUGCCAUGCAGCUCCGACGAUUAAGAGACAAACUGACAAGAGCUGGAUGGAUGGACUUGAAUCAACCAAUACACUCUAUGCUUCCUCUGAGACUCUGGUAAAAUAUCUAUUUUCCACUCAUUGUCGAGGACUGUUAUGUACCGCCGACAAAGAACUGGGGACGAAAACAACAGCUAAUUUGCUGAACAAGGCAUUUUUUCUUCUCCCAUAAGAGCCC